ACGGCGGCCGGCGCUGCUGGCAUCGGUCGGCGCGGACGAGGAGAAGGCCAUGGCAGAGGAGGUCGACGGGCGGCGGCGCUGGCCCGCAGCUGGCCAGACGACGGGUGCGAGGCGACGGAACACACAGGGGACGGUGAGGCAUGGAGCGGCCACGGGGCGGCAGCCGUCACGGCUCCGGUGACUAGCGCGAUCGAGGGAGGAGCGGGGCGCAGCUCCUCUGGUCCAUGGCAGGAGGCCAUGGCGGGCAGGCGGUGAUGCGGACCAGGCCGGCGGAGGCGCAGGAGAGGAAGCAGGAGCAGAGGGGCGGCGGAGCUCCUGGUGGUGGUGGUCGACGCCGGCGGGCGCGCUUGCUGGAAGGAGGGGCGCUCGGGAGGAGGCCGCGGCGCUGAUCGUUGACGAGGGCGACGGGGAGGUCCGGUGGCGCGGCACCAAGGGCGGCGAGGGGGAGGUCGUGCGCGGGGUCUCGAGGUGGAGGCAGCGAGGGGAUCGGGCACUGGUACGAGGGGCUCCUCCUCUUUGGCGGCGCUGGAGGGAUCAAGAGGAGAGAGCGAGAGGAGAUGGGGGCUAGGGUUAGAUAGACAUCGGCUGGGCCUUGGGUCGUGAAGUGGAUGGGCCGGCGCGGUAGUUGGGAGGCCCAGCUGGGCUUUCUUCUCUCUCCCUCUUCUGCCAAAACUCUACUAAAAACAGAAAAAAAACAAAGAAAGAAA